CCCAUCGUCCUGUGGACAUGGCAGUGUCAAGGGAAGAGGGUCGGAGCAGGUGAAAGUGAAGGUCAUGGAGAUGUCAUGUGGAAACUAGUUGGACUGGCUUAUUGGAAGCGCAAGGGCUGGGCCUGUCUGGUUACGAAGCAAUGCCCUUUCCUCGACUCCACGCUGAGUUCUGGGCCCAAGGGCAGAGCUGGCUGUCAGGGCUGACCAAAGGAGGAGAAUUUUAAGAUCAUUUCUGCAUGCAGCAGGGGUGGUUAAGGUUGGCAGCAUCCAGCCAGCCAGUCCUGAGAUCAUCUGGUGAAGGGAAACGAAGCAUGGAGGUUUCCCAGAGAAAGAACCGAGGACGAAGGAAGGGGUUCAGUCUUCUUUUCUCCUAUGUUCAAGCAAUGGCUGAGUACACUGGCUAACUCAA